rnacentral:rRNA from 1 species
CCUACGGGAGGCAGCAGUGGGGAAUAUUUCGCAAUGGGCGAAAGCCUGACGCAGCGACGCCGCGUGAGGGAUGAAGGUCUUCGGAUCGUAAACCUCUGUCAGCAGGGAAGAACGGUCACUGUGCUAAUCAGCAGUGAAUUGACGGUACCUGCAACGGAAGCACCGGCUAACUCCGUGCCAGCAGCCGCGGUAAUACGGAGGGUGCGAGCGUUAAUCGGAUUUACUGGGCGUAAAGCGCUCGUAGGCGGUAUGUCAAGUCAAGGGUGAAAUCCCCGCGCUCAACGUGGGAACUGCCUUUGAAACGGGCAAGCUGGAGUGUGUGAGAGGAUAGUGGAAUUCCAGGUGUAGGAGUGAAAUGCGGAGAUAUCUGGAGGAACAGCAGUGGCGAAGGCGACUAUCUGGCACAUAACUGACGCUGAGGAGCGAAAGCGUGGGGAGCAAACAGGAUUAGAUACCCUGGUAGUC